UCUCGCGUUCAGUGUUAUUCAAAUACUUUAAAGAAGUAACAUUAAAAACGUUCACAAAAAUAAAUAUAAAUAACUUGUUCACCGGAUUUUCCAUGGGCUCGUUGCACCACUCUCCAUCUUUUCCAUCAUCCAAGUCCAAGGUAGAAUCAUAUCAAUCUGUAGAGAAUGAGGUUAAACCCGUGAGUUAAAAAAACUCAAUAGAUAUUAUUGGUACAUUCGUGAUCAAGUUAUACAUUUCAAAACUGUAACUUUAGAAACAUUUUCAUAGUAGGAUUUUCGGUAGAAUCCCAAACACGUAGAGUCAUAACUUAACACGACGCUUCGACCGAAAGUACAUGCCGUACCCGAAGGUACCAUUAGACAUGGAGGUGCAUGCCGUACCGGAGGUACCAUUAGACAUAUAAACAUUAACAUAAAUCUUCAUUUGCUAGAACUUAUAACUUAAUACGAAUUAACACUUUGCACCUCUACCUACCUUGAUUGAUACUUUAAAUCUUGUUGAAAAAUGCACUCCUUUGAUAUUUAAAAAAACACUCCGUUGAGAAUUGAUACUUGAAAAACACUUUUUGAUAGCACCAAAACUUUUAGGAAAAACUAAUUUUUCUCCCUCUCCUUUCUCUUUUUUUUUUAGACUUAAAAAUUCUCUCUUUUAUGAUUAGAAACUUUUCUCUUGGUGUGAAAAAUGUGUAUGCAUUGAGCCUAUUUGUAAGUGAAAAUCUCACAAUUUAAGGGCAAGUGAAGGGCCUAAUAC
rnacentral:lncRNA from 1 species